rnacentral:rRNA from 1 species
GAGGAAUAAGCAUCGGCUAACUCCGUGCCAGCAGCCGCGGUAAUACGGGGGAUGCAAGCGUUAUCCGGAAUCAUUGGGCGUAAAGCGCCUGUAGGUUGUUUAAUAAGUCUGUUGUUAAAGACUAGGGCUCAACCCUAGGAAAGCAAUGGAAACUACUAGACUUGAGUAUGAUAGGGGUAGAGGGAAUUUCUAGUGUAGCGGUGAAAUGCGUAGAUAUUAGGAAGAACACCGGUGGCGAAGGCGCUCUACUGGAUCAUUACUGACACUCAGAGGCGAAAGCUAGGGUAGCAAAAGGGAUUAGAUACCCCUGUAGUCCUAGCCGUAAACGAUGGAUACUAGAUGUUGCGUUUAUUAUGCAGUAUCGUAGCUAACGCGUUAAGUAUCCCGCCUGGGGAGUACGCUCGCAAGGGUGAAACUCAAGGAAUUGACGGGGGCCCGCACAAGCGGUGGAGCAUGUGGUUUAAUUCGAUGCAACGCGAAGAACCUUACCAAGGCUUGACAUACUACAAAUUUCUUUGAAAGAGGAAAGUGCCUUCGGGAAUGUAGAUACAGGUGGUGCAUGGCUGUCGUCAGCUCGUGUCGUGAGAUGUUGGGUUAAGUCCCGCAACGAGCGCAACCCUUAUUUUUAGUUGCUAAUUUAUUAGGUUUUCUAGAAAGACUGCCGGUGACAAACCGGAGGAAGGUGAGGAUGACGUCAAGUCAGCAUGCCCCUUAUGCCUUGGGCUACACACGUGCUACAAUGGUUAAGACAAAGAGUUGCGAGCUCGCGAGAGUCAGCUAAUCUCAUAAACUUAGCCUAAGUUCGGAUUGUAGGCUGCAACUCGCCUGCAUGAAG